UGGGGAAUAUUGGACAAUGGGCGAAAGCCUGAUCCAGCCAUGCCGCGUGUGUGAAGAAGGUCUUCGGAUUGUAAAGCACUUUAAGUUGGGAGGAAGGGCAGUAAGCGAAUACCUUGCUGUUCUGACGUUACCGACAGAAUAAGCACCGGCUAACUCUGUGCCAGCAGCCGCGGUUAUACAGAGGGUGCAAGCGUUAAUCGGAAUUACUGGGCGUAAAGCGCGCGUAGGUGGUUCGUUAAGUUGAAUGUGAAAGCCCCGGGCUCAACCUGGGAACUGCCUCCAAAACUGGCGAGCUAGAGUAGGGCAGAGGGUGGUGGAAUUUCCUGUGUAGCGGUGAAAUGCGUGGAUAUAGGAAGGAAAACCAGUGGCGAAGGCGACCACCUGGGCUAAUACUGACACUGAGGUGCGAAAGCGUGGGGAGCAAACAGG
rnacentral:rRNA from 1 species